GAUGAACGCUGGCGGCGUGCUUAACACAUGCAAGUCGAACGGAAAGGCCCAAGCUUGCUUGGGUACUCGAGUGGCGAACGGGUGAGUAACACGUGGGUGAUCUGCCCUGCACUUCGGGAUAAGCCUGGGAAACUGGGUCUAAUACCGGAUAGGACCACGUCUUGGAUGUUGUGGUGGAAAGUUUUUUCGGUGUGGGAUGAGCUCGCGGCCUAUCAGCUUGUUUGUGGGGUAAUGGCCUACCAAGGCGUCGACGGGUAGCCGGCCUGAGAGGGUGUACGGCCACAUUGGGACUGAGAUACGGCCCAGACUCCUACGGGAGGCAGCAGUGGGGAAUAUUGCACAAUGGGCGCAAGCCUGAUGCAGCGACGCCGCGUGGGGGAUGACGGCCUUCGGGUUGUAAACUCCUUUCGCUAGGGACGAAGCGUUUUUGUGACGGUACCUGGAGAAGAAGCACCGGCUAACUACGUG
rnacentral:rRNA from 1 species